GGGGGGGGGGGGGGGGGGGGGGGGGGGGGGCAGGGGGAAGGGAGGGGGCCGGGGUGUGUGGGGUGCGCGGGGGGCGAACGGGGGAGGAACACGUGAGUAACCUGCCCUUGACUUUGGGAUAAGUUCAGGAAACUGGGGCUAAUACCGGAUAGGAGCUCCUGCGGCGUGGUGGGGGUUGGAAAGUUUCGGCGGGUGGGGAUGGACUCGCGGCUUAUCAGCUUGUUGGUGGGGUAGUGGCUUACCAAGGCUUUGACGGGUAGCCGGCCUGAGAGGGUGACCGGCCACAUUGGGACUGAGAUACGGCCCAGACUCCUACGGGAGGCAGCAGUGGGGAAUAUUGCACAAUGGGCGGAAGCCUGAUGCAGCAACGCCGCGUGCGGGAUGACGGCCUUCGGGUUGUAAACCGCUUUCGCCUGUGACGAAGCGUGAGUGACGGUAAUGGGUAAAGAAGCACCGGCUAACUACGUG
rnacentral:rRNA from 1 species